rnacentral:misc_RNA from 1 species
GUGCUCAAACUGUGCUGAUAGGCUACCAUCAUCUGUAACAACUGUCCAAUCAUCACCCCAUAUUACUCCAUCUAUGCUGCCAAUUGUCAGCAUAGGCUCAAUAGUGAAUGUCUGAUUGAGUAUCAUCCGUCCGCGAUCAUUGUUCCUGUAAUGCAGAAUGACUGGAUCACUGUGGAAAGCACGUCCCACUCCAUGGCCAACGAAUUGUUGCACAACCCCAUAGCGAUGUUUAUCUGCAAGAUCAUGUAUCGUCUUGCCAAUUUU